rnacentral:rRNA from 1 species
UACGUAGGGUGCAAGCGUUGUCCGGAAUUAUUGGGCGUAAAGAGCUCGUAGGCGGCUUGUCACGUCGACUGUGAAAACCCGGGGCUCAACUCCGGGCCUGCAGUCGAUACGGGCUGGCUUGAGUGCGGUAGGGGAGACUGGAAUUCCCGGUGUAGCGGUGAAAUGCGCAGAUAUCAGGAGGAACACCGAUAGCGAAGGCAGCUCGCUGGGACGGUACUGACGCUAAGGCGCGAAAGCGUGGGGAGCGAACAGG